UGCUGGAGGUAUCAGAAGUGCGAAUGCUGACAUAAGUAACGAUAAAGCGGGUGAAAAGCCCGCUCGCCGGAAGACCAAGGGUUCCUGUCCAACGUUAAUCGGGGCAGGGUGAGUCGACCCCUAAGGCGAGGCCGAAAGGCGUAGUCGAUGGGAAACAGGUUAAUAUUCCUGUACUUGGUGUUACUGCGAAGGGGGGACGGAGAAGGCUAUGUUAGCCGGGCGACGGUUGUCCCGGUUUAAGCAUGUAGGCUGAUUGUCCAGGCAAAUCCGGAUAAUCAAGGCUGAGGUGUGAUGACGAGGCACUACGGUGCUGAAGUAACAAAUGCCCUGCUUCCAGGAAAAGCCUCUAAGCAUCAGGUAACAUCAAAUCGUACCCCAAACCGACACAGGUGGUCAGGUAGAGAAUACCAAGGCGCUUGAGAGAACUCGGGUGAAGGAACUAGGCAAAAUGGUGCCGUAACUUCGGGAGAAGGCACGCUGGUGUGUAGGUGAAGUCCCUGCGGAUGGAGCUGAGACCAGUCGAAGAUACCAGCUGGCUGCAACUGUUUAUUAAAAACACAGCACUGUGCAAACACGAAAGUGGACGUAUACGGUGUGACGCCUGCCCGGUGCCGGAAGGUUAAUUGAUGGGGUUAUCCGUAAGGAGAAGCUCUUGAUCGAAGCCCCGGUAAACGGCGGCCGUAACUAUAACGGUCCUAAGGUAGCGAAAUUCCUUGUCGGGUAAGUUCCGACCUGCACGAAUGGCGUAAUGAUGGCCAGGCUGUCUCCACCCGAGACUCAGUGAAAUUGAACUCGCUGUGAAGAUGCAGUGUACCCGCGGCAAGACGGAAAGACCCCGUGAACCUUUACUAUAGCUUGACACUGAACAUUGAGCCUUGAUGUGUAGGAUAGGUGGGAGGCUUUGAAGCGUGGACGCCAGUCUGCGUGGAGCCAACCUUGAAAUACCACCCUUUAAUGUUUGAUGUUCUAACGUUGGCCCCUGACCGGGGUUGCGGACAGUGUCUGGUGGGUAGUUUGACUGGGGCGGUCUCCUCCCAAAGCGUAACGGAGGAGCACGAAGGUUAGCUAAUCCUGGUCGGACAUCAGGAGGUUAGUGCAAUGGCAUAAGCUAGCUUGACUGCGAGCGUGACGGCGCGAGCAGGUGCGAAAGCAGGUCAUAGUGAUCCGGUGGUUCUGAAUGGAAGGGCCAUCGCUCAACGGAUAAAAGGUACUCCGGGGAUAACAGGCUGAUACCGCCCAAGAGUUCAUAUCGACGGCGGUGUUUGGCACCUCGAUGUCGGCUCAUCACAUCCUGGGGCUGAAGUAGGUCCCAAGGGUAUGGCUGUUCGCCAUUUAAAGUGGUACGCGAGCUGGGUUUAGAACGUCGUGAGACAGUUCGGUCCCUAUCUGCCGUGGGCGCUGGAGAAUUGAGGGGGGCUGCUCCUAGUACGAGAGGACCGGAGUGGACGCAUCACUGGUGUUCGGGUUGUCAUGCCAAUGGCACUGCCCGGUAGCUAAAUGCGGAAGAGAUAAGUGCUGAAAGCAUCUAAGCACGAAACUUGCCCCGAGAUGAGUUCUCCCUGAGACUUUAAGUCUCCUGAAGGAACGUUGAAGACGACGACGUUGAUAGGCCGGGUGUGUAAGCGCAGCGAUGCGUUGAGCUAACCGGUACUAAUGAACCGUGAGGCUUAACC
rnacentral:rRNA from 1 species